ensembl:lncRNA
UUCUGAUUUAUUAUUUAUUCAAUUAGCUCUUUGUCAUGUCAACACCAGAAACGGCAUCUAACUACAAUACCACGGACACGGUCACGGACUACAACACCCAACAAACAAAGACACUGUCACCUUCACCAGCUUACUGAAGGAGAUAAGGUUAGGGUUACAUGAAUGCCAGGACCCAAGGUUUCCCAGCAGAACAUUGCCCAGAGCAUCACACUGCCUCGACCAGCUUGCCUUCUUCCCAUAGUGCAUCCUGUUGCCAUCUCUUCUCCAGCAUGCCAAACUUCUGUGGUCAAGGCUUCCCUGGACUCUCUUUGUUGCUCUACCUCUCAUAUUCAGAUGUCAACUCUGUCUGGUGCCUGAUUUGGUGUUAC